rnacentral:tRNA from 1 species
GGUAGCGUGUCCGAGCGGCCGAAGGAGCGCGACUCGAAAUCGCGUGACGGGUAACCCCCGUCCGUGGGUUCAAAUCCCACCGCUACCG